rnacentral:rRNA from 1 species
AGAAUCAACGCUGGCGGCGUGCCUAACACAUGCAAGUCGAACGCGAAAGCCCCGCAAGGGGUUAGUAGAGUGGCAAACGGGUGAGUAACACGUGGGUGACCUGCCUUAGAGUGGGGGAUAACGUCCCGAAAGGGACGCUAAUACCGCAUAACAUCCUGCCUUUGAAGAGGUGGAGAUCAAAGCUGGGGACCGCAAGGCCUAGCGCUCAAAGAGGGGCCCGCGCCUGAUUAGCUAGUUGGUGGGGUAAUGGCUCACCAAGGCAACGAUCAGUA